UACGUAGGGUGCGAGCGUUAAUCGGAAUUACUGGGCGUAAAGCGUGCGCAGGCGGUUUCGUAAGACAGACGUGAAAUCCCCGGGCUUAACCUGGGAACUGCGUUUGUGACCGCGAGACUAGAGUGCGGCAGAGGGGGGUAGAAUUCCACGUGUAGCAGUGAAAUGCGUAGAGAUGUGGAGGAAUACCGAUGGCGAAGGCAGCCCCCUGGGUCGACACUGACGCUCAUGCACGAAAGCGUGGGGAGCAAACAGG
rnacentral:rRNA from 1 species